GCGCUGGGAAGACAAAGAAAACAGCGGCUAUUUCCGGGCCCAGAUUAUGAAGCUGUUUGGUAAGUAUGCUUUUCUUUGUAAUGUUUCAUGACGCGAUUGUUAUGGAUGUCGACAAGUGCGAAUUUCAUGUGAUUUCCAGCAACCAAGGAGGAGGCCGAUGCUUGCACGGAAGGUGUGGACAAGCGCUUUUCGUGCCCGAAAAUGCCCCUCUACAGUGAUUCGGAAGAAGAUUCUUUCACCAGCCAGGAAUCCUUCCGAGAGGAGAAGAAGAACAAACAAAAGGCCAAGUCUCGCCAAAAGAAUGUUGAGGCGGCAUUUAG
rnacentral:lncRNA from 1 species